rnacentral:rRNA from 1 species
UGGGGAAUUUUGCACAAUGGGGGAAACCCUGAUGCAGCGACGCCGCGUGAUUUAGAAGGCCUUCGGGUUGUAAAAAUCUUUUCUAUGGGAAGAAAAUGACAGUACCAUAGGAAUAAGGACCGGCUAAUUACGUGCCAGCAGCCGCGGUAAUACGUAAGGUCCGAGCGUUGUCCGGAAUCAUUGGGCGUAAAGGGUACGUAGGCGGGUAAGCAAGUUAGAAGUGAAAUCCUAUAGCUCAACUAUAGUAAGCUUUUAAAACUGCUCAUCUUGAGGUAUGGAAGGGAAAGUGGAAUUCCUAGUGUAGCGGUGAAAUGCGCAGAUAUUAGGAGGAAUACCGGUGGCGAAGGCGACUUUCUGGCCAUAACCUGACGCUGAGGUACGAAAGCGUGGGUAGCAAACAGA